rnacentral:sRNA from 1 species
GUGCUCUGCGAGCCGAAUCAUGGAUCACACUGACAAUGAGUUACAAGGCACUAAUAGUUCUGGAUCCUUGGGUGGUCUUGAUGUUCGCAGACGAAUUCCUAUAAAGCUCAUCUCCAAACAAGCAAACAAAGCGAAACCUGCACCGCGAACUCAAAGAACUAUAAACAGGAUGCCUGCAAAGGCUCCACCUGGUGAUGAAGAAGGAUUUGAUUAUAAUGAAGAAGAACGGUAUGACUGUAAAGGGGGUGAGCUGUUUGCAAAUCAGCGAAGAUUUCCUGGACACCUUUUUUGGGACUUUCAGAUAAACAUCUUAGGUGAAAAGGAUGAUACACCAGUUCAUUUCUGUGACAAGUGUGGAUUGCCUAUUAAAAUCUAUGGGAGAAUGAUUCCAUGCAAGCAUGUUUUUUGCUAUGACUGUGCUAUUUUACAUGAAAAAAAGGGAGAUAAGAUGUGUCCAGGGUAAGAUAAGAUUAUCAUUACCUUUUUUAAAUAAUAAAGUUUUAGUGCAAUGAUUUAUAAGUUGGAUUAAAGGUUAGGGAGUGAUGUAAAUCAGGCAGGAG